UACGUAGGGUGCAAGCGUUGUCCGGAAUUAUUGGGCGUAAAGAGCUCGUAGGCGGUCUGUCGCGUCUGCUGUGAAAACUCGGGGCUUAACCCCGGGCCUGCAGUGGGUACGGGCAGACUAGAGUGCGGUAGGGGAGACUGGAAUUCCUGGUGUAGCGGUGAAAUGCGCAGAUAUCAGGAGGAACACCGAUGGCGAAGGCAGGUCUCUGGGCCAUAACUGACGCUGAGGCGCGGAAGCGUGGGGAGCAAACAGG
rnacentral:rRNA from 1 species